AGCCUGAUCCAGCCAUGCCGCGUGUGUGAAGAAGGCUUUCGGGUUGUAAAGCACUUUCAGUGAGGAAGAACGCCUUGGGGCGAAUAGCCCCGAGGAAAGACAUCACUCACAGAAGAAGCACCGGCUAACUCCGUGCCAGCAGCCGCGGUAAUACGGAGGGUGCAAGCGUUAAUCGGAAUGACUGGGCGUAAAGCGCGCGUAGGUGGCGUGAUAAGCCGGUUGUGAAAGCCCCGGGCUCAACCUGGGAAUGGCAUCCGGAACUGUCAGGCUAGAGUGCAGGAGAGGAAGGUAGAAUUCCCGGUGUAGCGGUGAAAUGCGUAGAGAUCGGGAGGAAUACCAGUGGCGAAGGCGGCCUUCUGGACUGACACUGACACUGAGGUGCGAAAGCGUGGGUAGCAAACAGGAUUAGAUACCCUGGUAGUCCACGCCGUAAACGAUGUCGACUAGCCGUUGGGGUCCUCGAGACCUUUGUGGCGC
rnacentral:rRNA from 1 species